GAUGAACGCUAGCUACAGGCUUAACACAUGCAAGUCGAGGGGAAACGACAUCGAAAGCUUGCUUUUGAUGGGCGUCGACCGGCGCACGGGUGAGUAACGCGUAUCCAACCUGCCCACCACUUGGGGAUAACCUUGCGAAAGUAAGACUAAUACCCAAUGACGUCUCUAGAAGACAUCUGAAAGCGAUUAAAGAUUUAUCGGUGAUGGAUGGGGAUGCGUCUGAUUAGCUUGUCGGCGGGGUAACGGCCCACCAAGGCGACGAGCAGUAGGGGUUCUGAGAGGAAGGUCCCCCACAUUGGAACUGAGACACGGUCCAAACUCCUACGGGAGGCAGCAGUGAGGAAUAUUGGUCAAUGGGCGAGAGCCUGAACCAGCCAAGUAGCGUGCAGGAUGACGGCCCUAUGGGUUGUAAACUGCUUUUAUAAGGGAAUAAAGUGAGUCUCGUGAGACUUUUUGCAUGUACCUUAUGAAUAAGGACCGGCUAAUUCCGUGCCAGCAGCCGCAGUAA
rnacentral:rRNA from 1 species